GGCAGUAUGAAAUCUCAGUUCAGCACUGAGGUUUUAAAAACAAGAAUAAGGAAUCUGUGGUCGAGACUGCUUGUUGUCCCCUAUUGUUCAUUCUUCCUUUGUUCUAUUGGUAACAGAACCUGAUUUUAUAUAAGGCAACAUGGUGCCCAGCUAAAAGACUACAUUUUCAAGAACUCCUUUACUACUAUGAAUGGCCAAUCCUGGAACAGGCACGAUGGUUGGCGCUCCUGUUGACCUACUGGACCAUGAAGUAACACCUGGAGAAUAGAAGCCUUGAACUAGAACAGAGGAACAAAAAGGCAAGAAGAGUUUGGAUUCCUGAUGAGUGUGGAGCUGCCAUCCUGAGGAGAACCUGUGCAAUUUAAUUGGUUCCAAGAAACCAAGGACAGAGUUCAGGCAACCGCGGCAGCUGGAAAUUAAGACAAGAUAUCCAGGAAUGGAAAGAG